CGGCCACAACUUUUCCAGCUGCUUCUUCAAAAACAACACAACGUGUUGUCUUCACAAGGCAUAAUAUUUCUUAUUUUAUUUAUUUUCUUACAGUGGUAUUUGAUAUUUUAUAUUAUAAUGUCCUUAGUGAUAUAUGGAAGUGGAAUAGAUAGUACUAUAUAAAUUAUUUGUAAAGGCCAAAAAAAGAUGGGACCUUGAAAACAGAAUUUUAGAGAAAAACAGAUGUGCAUUCACAAAAAAGUUGCAAGUAGCCAAAGACUUAAACGGUGUUUGAGAGGUUGUAGACAACAUAAGUCAUGCUCGUUACUCUGGUGCAUCACAUGGGCUGCGAGGGGAAUGUAACAUGCAUGCAAUUCUUUUGCCUUACAACAUGCCAACAUUUCCUUAGCCACACUUCCCGACGGAUUCAGGAUUUGAAGUUUAUGAGUUUAUGCAACGCCGUUAGCAUAAAUAGUGGAUUUGGUUAGAGGUUAUUGUGAGUUCACGUGAACCCAUUGAUCGAAGGCUAGAUCCUCCUCUACACCCCAUGCCUCAAAAGAAAGAAAAGGAAAAAGAAAUGAAUUUAUGUUUUCUAUUUAAGCUCACUCAUUCGAUGGAUUCAAAUUAACAUUCUUUUAUAUACUAUUGAAAGGAAAGCACUCCGUACCAAGAGCAUCUAAUCCCCAUGCCUCGAAAGAAAGAAAAUAAAAAAAGAAAUGAAUUACAUUCGGUAUUUGAAACUCAUUCAUUUGAUAGAUUCAAAUUUACUUUUUUGUUUAUAUAAUAUUGAGGGAAAGCAAUCCGUACCAAGAGCAUCUAAUCAAUUUUGUAAGAACAUCCAUGGGCAUCAAGAAAAAGAACGUUAUAUGUGGUUUGUCAUAUCAAAACAACUAUCUCGAAUUUUGAACAAUGUUGGUAUUGCUUGUCAAGCCAUUCCUUUCACUUGGCAAAUAACAUAGAUAAUCUAUUUUAUUCCCCUUUCCCCCUUUUGAUGGGUGAGAAUGAAAAGAGGUUAAUCGAAACCUAACAAAAGGAUGUAAUAAAAGCUUAU
rnacentral:lncRNA from 1 species